AGCUGUGUGGCAUUUUUCACCCUGCCGGGUUCCCUUGCCAGACAUGAUGUCGGUUAUCUGGCAAAAGCCAUUUUAUGUCGGCCACGAGGCAGGUGUUCACUGUGCAUCAUUCAUUCACCCCAUGAUGUUCUGGAAGUAAACCUUGGUUGUCUUUCGUUGGCCAGAGGAAUUGGGAUCUCAAGGGCAUUUCCCUUUGCCCACCUCACCUUUUCAUAUUUGGUAAACUGUAUGCAUUUGCCUCCAGCCCAAGAUUAUAAAUAUGAACUGAUUAUGAUCUGCAUGUUCUCUCUUUGGGUUCAAGCAUUUCCUUACAGAAGAGCCACCGUGGAAGUCAUGGGUAAAUAUGUGUUGAAUUGGUAACUCCCUCUUGGAGAAUUUCUUGUGAAUUACACAGCAAUAGGGGAACUCAUUUAACUGGAGACAUAAUCUCAAUUUGUAAAGUGUGGCCCAUUUUCUAACAUUUUUAUUUUGCAUACCCUCCCCUCUCUUCUCGAUUGAUGAAACUAACAAAGAGGUUAAUAAAAGCCCAUCUCGUCAUGUA
rnacentral:lncRNA from 1 species